UACGUAGGGGCCGAGCGUUGUCCGGAAUUACUGGGCGUAAAGCGCGCGCAGGCGGCUGGUCAAGCCCGACGUGAAAGCCCCCGGCUCAACCGGGGAGGGUCGUCGGGGACUGAUCGGCUUGAGGGCGGUAGGGGCCGGUGGAAUUCCCGGUGUAGUGGUGAAAUGCGUAGAGAUCGGGAGGAACACCAGUAGCGAAGGCGGCCGGCUGGGCCGACCCUGACGCUGAGGCGCGAAGGCGUGGGGAGCGAACGGG
rnacentral:rRNA from 1 species